GCUGGAACCUGGGCCUGUCACUUCUCUGCAGUGACUCUGAAAAGUCCAGCUUUGAGUGGCCGCUCUUCCUCCACAGAAGAAGGGAAAGAUGGUUUUCCAGGCUGGGUCUAUGUGGCAUCAUUUCAGAUUUCAGCUACAAGCUUGCCACGUGACAAAGCGUGAUUAUUUCCACGGGGCACUGAACUGCCUGGGAUACCUAGGCAGCACUGUUUUAAUUUGAGAAGUCACAGCUUUUAGAGCUGGAGGAGUCCUUGGGAAUCAUGCCUAGCUCAACCCCCAUGUUUACCAAUAAAGGAAAUAAACUCCAAGGAGAAGGGUGUCAAAAUAGAGCAGAUAAUUCCCAAAGGCAGCAAAAUUAGGACCAGAGCCCUCCCCUCACCCGAAGCAAAGGACCACAGCGUCUACUGUCAGGAACGAGACUCAGGUCACAACCAAAGAGAUUUAGAUGCGGCCUAAAGGAGACCUUGCUGGUGACGGAGAUGAUUAAAUACCAGAACAGACAGCCACAGGGAUUGUGAAAUCGUCCUCCUGGGAGAUCUUUUAAAAUAGGACAGUUAACCAUCUGUCUGAAAUGGUUUAAGUACAGCCCUGCCUCGGAGGUAGGAAAAUAAUGGAUGACCCUCGUCACCGUCACAUUUUGGGCUCUGUGAUCACACCUGGACGAAGGUGCACCACGGGGACCCAGCUCCCAGCUUCACACGGAGGCCAUGCACUGUCUUCCACGCUCCAGGGGGACACGGGAGACGGAAUGUGGCCCUUGGACCUCGAAGGACUUGGAGGCAGAAGCAUGAGCUACUGUCGCCUCCUCUGGCAUCAUCGUCUCUUUGCCCAUCAGCGUUCCCCGCAAAAGGAUUGAGCUGCCUCCCGGGGGGUGUGACUAGCUCGGUACAGCCAACACCACCUUCGUUUUGGACGCCGCGCUUCUGUUAAUGGAGCCUCAGGUGCCUUUAGCUCCAUUGUUGGCAGCUGCAUCCGCUGUGGUUCCUGUUCCUCUUGUCUCCAGAGUGAGCUAGUUGCUGAAGGUCUGACUUUGGGGGUGGUGGGGUGAGGACGAGCUGGGGAUUGUUGCUGGUUUUUUCUCGUCUGUUUUAGUGUGAGAUUGCCAGAGAACCUUUGCCCUCGGGAUUAUAGUAGGAGUCAUAUCCAAGGCCCUGAAGACAACGUCCUCAACCCCACGAGGACAGUGAAAGGCCCUGGGAGACAUAUGGCACG